rnacentral:rRNA from 1 species
AGAUGCAGUGUACCCGCGGCAAGACGGAAAGACCCCGUGAACCUUUACUAUAGCUUGACACUGAACAUUGAGCCUUGAUGUGUAGGAUAGGUGGGAGGCUUUGAAGUGUGGACGCCAGUCUGCAUGGAGCCGGCCUUGAAAUACCACCCUUUAAUGUUUGAUGUUCUAACGUGGACCCGUGAUCCGGGUUGCGGACAGUGUCUGGUGGGUAGUUUGACUGGGGCGGUCUCCUCCUAAAGAGUAACGGAGGAGCACGAAGGUUGGCUAAUCCUGGUCGGACAUCAGGAGGUUAGUGCAAUGGCAUAAGCCAGCUUGACUGCGAGCGUGACGGCGCGAGCAGGUGCGAAAGCAGGUCAUAGUGAUCCGGUGGUUCUGAAUGGAAGGGCCAUCGCUCAACGGAUAAAAGGUACUCCGGGGAUAACAGGCUGAUACCGCCCAAGAGUUCAUAUCGACGGCGGUGUUUGGCACCUCGAUGUCGGCUCAUCACAUCCUGGGGCUGAAGUAGGUCCCAAGGGUAUGGCUGUUCGCCAUUUAAAGUGGUACGCGAGCUGGGUUUAGAACGUCGUGAGACAGUUCGGUCCCUAUCUGCCGUGGGCGCUGGAGAACUGAGGGGGGCUGCUCCUAGUACGAGAGGACCGGAGUGGACGCAUCACUGGUGUUCGGGUUGUCAUGCCAAUGGCACUGCCCGGUAGCUAAAUGCGGAAGAGAUAAGUGCUGAAAGCAUCUAAGCACGAAACUUGCCCCGAGAUGAGUUCUCCCUGAGACUUAGAGUCUCCUGAAGGAACGUUGAAGACGACGACGUUGAUAGGCCGGGUGUGUAAGCGCAGCGAUGCGUUGAGCUAACCGGUACUAAUGAACCGUGAGGCUUAACCUUACAACGCCGAAG